CUCAGAUGUUGAACGUGAAGGAUAACGUUGCGUCAGCAACGGCCCGAAGGGCGAGGCGAAGCCGAGUCAUCCUGCACGACGAUAACGUUGCGUCAGCAACGGCCCGAAGGGCGAGGCGAAGCCGAGUCAUCCUGCACGACCCACCA
rnacentral:sRNA from 1 species